rnacentral:rRNA from 1 species
GGGCCCGCACAAGCAGUGGAUUAUGUGGUUUAAUUCGAAGCAACGCGAAGAACCUUACCAGGGUUUGACAUCCAACUAACGAAGCAGAGAUGCAUUAGGUGCCCUUCGGGGAAAGUUGAGACAGGUGGUGCAUGGUUGUCGUCAGCUCGUGUCGUGAGAUGUUGGGUUAAGUCCCGCAACGAGCGCAACCCUUAUUGUUAGUUGCUACGCAAGAGCACUCUAACGAGACUGCCGUUGACAAAACGGAGGAAGGUGGGGACGACGUCAAAUCAUCAUGCCCCUUAUAUCCUGGGCUACACACGUAAUACAAUGGCGCUUAACAGAGGGAAGCAAAGCCGCGAGGUGGAGCAAAUCCCUAAAAGGCGUCUCAGUUCGGAUUGCAGGCUGCAACUCGCCUGCAUGAAGUCGGAAUUGCUAGUAAUCGCGGAUCAGCAUGCCGCGGUGAAUACGUUCCCGGGCCUUGUACACACCGCCCGUCACACCAUGAGAGU